GGGAGAGAGUAGUGACAGAGAGAGGGAUGGGGUGACUAGUGACAGAGAGAGGGAUGGGGUGACUAGUGACAGAGUGAGGAAGGGGGUGACUAGGGACUGUGGGGGUGAUUAGUGACAGAAUGAGUGAGGGGGUGACAGUGACAGAGUUAGGUAGGGAGUGACUAGUGACAGAGUCACUACCUCCCUCUGUCCCCAGUCAUCCCCUCACUCUGCCACUAGUCAUCUCUUCCCUCCCUCCCUCACUCUGCCACUAGUCACCCAUUCCCUAUCUCUGUCACUAGUCACCCCCUCUCCCUCCCUCUGUCACUAGUCAUCCACUCCC